GACAGAGGAGCCAAGCGUUGUCCGGAUUUACUGGGCGUAAAGGGCGCGUAGGCGGCAAAUUAAGUCAGCUGUGAAAUCUCCGAGCUUAACUCGGAACUGUCAGCUGAUACUGAUCUGCUAGAGUGCGGAAGGGGCAAUCGGAAUUCUUGGUGUAGCGGUGAAAUGCGUAGAUAUCAAGAGGAACACCUGAGGUGAAGACGGGUUGCUGGGCCGACACUGACGCUGAGUGCGCGAAAGCCAGGGGAGCAAACGGG
rnacentral:rRNA from 1 species